UGAUUUUUAAAGGGCUGAAAUUGCAAUCCAACCAAAUCUAUAAAGAAAUAGAAGAAAGUGAUGCCAGUUCAGCUUUGACACCAUCCUAGGGCUUAGCAAGUGUCACGCUUUCAUGUAGUUUCUUACUUCUUCCUGCCUAGCAUAAUGAGCUGGAGGAUUCUUCUAAUUAGCUAAAUAUUAUUGUACAUCAGAGUGGGGCCGUGCUUCCUGUACAUUCUUAUUUGUGUUUUGCCAGCCAAGGGAAGAAAGCUGUCAGAGGCAGGAACAGAUGUAAGAACGGCGCAAAACAUACCAAGAAGUCAUGGCACUUCUUUACUAUUGGACGAGUCGUUUAACUUUGCGUGUUUUUAAUUCUGAUAUUAGUGUGACUCCUUCAAGCCUGUGCGCAGGACUGGGAAAAGCUUUUGUGGGUGGUGUGUGUGCAGCGUGCAUGUGUCAAGUUUUCUCUGCCCUCCGCAAGGUCGUGUGAGUUGGCUUCAUCGCUAAAAUAUCCUCUGUAAAACCCACACUGACCCAGUCUUCUGAUUAUUUUCUGUAAUGUGCGGAGCCAGGUAAAGGCAUGCUGCAGUUUGCUUAAAUUUCCUGUUGACAGGGAUUGGAAACUCAUUAAAAAGGGAAGAUUCAAAGUUGAUGCCGAUCAACUAUCUCCUAUCAAGUUUGUGUAUCGUGUACUUGUUCCUUUUUUUUUUUUUUGCCAUGUAGAGUCUUCUGAAAAUUGAAAACUAAUUUAUGAUCAUGUAGUUAUUAGCACAAUCACAAAAGAGGUCACUGGUCUUUCCUUUAAUUUCUGUCACAGGCUGCAGGCCGUAUUAUGCUAAAUCAAGGAUACGGGGAGAUAAUUAACAUAGCAACUCUGGCAAGUUUAAUAGGAUCUCACACACAGUGACAGCUAGCAGCGUCCCAAGUGUUGACAUUAUGACUUAGAGAUGUGAUAAAGAGAAACACGAACUGCGUUUUCUCAACCUGAGCUAAGACAACAAGCCCCCCUGAUGAGGUUGGAAUUGACAAGUGGAUCAAUUUGGAGGUGCCCAUUCAUUCAUCUCUGUUUUAUGCCCACCAGAGGGGCAUUUGAGAUGGGAGAUUGAACCUUGAGUAGCCUAUAAACCAGUCAGAUUUUCUAGUUAACACAUCAAAAGUGUAUCUGUGUACACGAAGUACGAAGAAAACAGUUCAAAGAGGACAAUUAUGCGUGUAAAGUACUUGGCACAGUCAAGACACAUGGAAUGAAUCUCAUGAAAGACUCAAAGUGACCAUGUCAUUGACCAGGGUCUCUACAGAUCUGGGAUUUAAUAAUUACCUGUUGCAUUCCAAAAGUAUAUCCUAUUAUGGUGCAUCUGUGGGUCCUUUACUUUGCAUUCACUAAGAAGUGAAAAGUCUUACCUAUCAAGGAUUUUAUUUUUUACCUGUACUAUAUGCAGCCUACA